rnacentral:lncRNA from 1 species
GUGCUGCGUGAUGAUCUCUCUCGCUCUCUCUGUCUCUCUGUUGCUCUUGCUUGCUUUGCUUUGGUGGUGUCUGUGCAAGGCCGCGUAGUGUGCGCUGCGCGUGCGGCUGGGCGUUGCUUGCUCGCUCGCUCGUUUUGUGGUGUUGUUGUGCUGCCUCGGCUGCGCUGCAGGCUGCUGCCUCGGGCCACGAAAAGUUUUUCUUAUUGUCCGUGUGGCGUGGCCUCGGCGUACAAUGAGAGGGAGAGGGGGAGUACGGCCGUGGUCAGCCCCCCCCCCUCUCUCUGUCUUUCUCUCUCUUCCACCGUCCGAUUCCCACCUGGUUCGUCCGAUGGUUUUUUCACUGUCCUCUCGUUUUGUUUCCUUCUUCAUCCACGGCCCCACUGUCGUUUCUUAUCUUCUCUCCCUUUUGACAGCGAUUAAAUUAUUAUAUUUUUAUUUAGUAUAAGAGCAUCCUGUAAGGAUUAAAAUAUUUUUUUAUUUAGUUGGAUGAGAGAGAAGAGGAGAGAGAAGGAAAGCGGGCUCUUCGUGAAGAGUGAGCACUAUCACGUGCUUGUAGGUGCUUUGUGAGAUAGAAAAAUGGACCAUAUAUGAUAAAAGUAGUACUCUUUUACAACUACCUAUUAUACAAGCUAGCUAUAAGAUAAACUACAAGAUGGUUUAUAGCUAACAGUUAGCUAUACUAUUAAUCAUGCUCUAAGAUGGUUUAUAGCGAGCAGUUAGUUAUACUAUUAACCAUGCUCUAAGAUGGCUUAUAGCCAGCAGUUGGCUAUACUAUUAANNNNNNNNNNNNNNNNNNNNNNNNNNNNNNNNNNNNNNNNNNNNNNNNNNNNNNNNNNNNNNNNNNNNNNNNNNNNNNNNNNNNNNNNNNNNNNNNNNNNAGGGGGCCUUGCCUUGGGGUCCAAGGACCCUCAAGGGGGUUGGCCGAGCCAAGGGGGAGGACUCUCCCCCCAAACCGAGUUGGACUAGGUUUGGUGGGAGGGAGUCCUCCUCCCUUCCCCACCCUCCCUCCCUUUUUUUUUCCUUUUCCUCUUGAUUUUUCUUCUCUUGGCGCAUAGACCACUUGUGGGCUGUCCCACCAGCCCACUAAGGGCUGGUGUGUCUCCCUCAAGGCCUAUGGGCUUCCCCGGGGUGGGUUGCCCCCCCCCCCGGUCGAACUCCCGGAACCCAUUCGUCAUUCCCGGUACAUUCCCGGUAACUCCGAAAACCUUCCGGUAAUCAAAUGAGGUCAUCCUAUAUAUCAAUCUUCGUUUCCGGACCAUUCCGGAAACCCUCAUGACGUCCGUGAUCUCAUCCGGGACUCCGAACAACAUUCGGUAACCAACCAUAUAACUCAAAUACGCAUAAAACAACGUCGAACCUUAAGUGUGCAGACCCUGCGGGUUCGAGAACUAUGUAGACAUGACCCGAGAGACUCCUCGGUCAAUAUCCAAUAGCGGGACCUGGAUACCCAUAUUGGAUCCUACAUAUUCUACGAAGAUCUUAUCGUUUGAACCUUAGUGCCAAGGAUUCGUAUAAUCCCGUAUGUCAUUCCCUUUGUCCCUCGGUAUGUUACUUGCCCGAGAUUCGAUCGUCAGUAUCCGCAUACCUAUUUCAAUCUCGUUUACCGGCAAGUCUCUUUACUCGUUCCGUAAUACAAGAUCCCGCAACUUACACUAAGUUACAUUGCUUGCAAGGCUUGUGUGUGAUGUUGUAUUACCGAGUGGGCCCCGAGAUACCUCUCCGUCACACGGAGUGACAAAUCCCAGUCUUGAUCCAUACUAACUCAACUAACACCUUCGGAGACACCUGUAGAGCAUCUUUAUAGUCACCCAGUUACGCUGUGACGUUUGAUACACACAAAGCAUUUNNNNNNNNNNNNNNNNNNNNNNNNNNNNNNNNNNNNNNNNNNNNNNNNNNNNNNNNNNNNNNNNNNNNNNNNNNNNNNNNNNNNNNNNNNNNNNNNNNNNAAGCACGACAACCCUGAUGGCAACACGUUGAUGGAUGAUCAUGGUGUGGCGCCGGUGACAAGAAGAUCGUGCCGGUGCUUUGGUGAUGGAGAUCAAGAAGCACGUGAUGAUGGCCAUAUCAUGUCACUUAUGAAUUGCAUGUGAUGUUAAGCCUUUUAUGCACCUUAUUUUGCUUAGAACGACGGUAGCAUUAUGAGGUGAUCUCUCACUAAAAUUUCAAGACGAAAUUGUGUUCUCCCCGACUGUGCACCGUUGCUACAGUUCGUCGUUUCGAGACACCACGUGAUGAUCGGGUGUGAUAGACUCAACGUUCACAUACAACGGGUGCAAAACAGUUGCGCACGCGGAACACUCGGGUUAAGCUUGACGAGCCUAGCAUGUGCAGACAUAGCCUCGGAACACAUGAGACCGAAAGGUCGAUCAUGAAUCAUAUAGUUGAUAUGAUUAGCAUAGGGAUGCUUACCACUGAAACUAUACUCAACUCACGUGAUGAUCGGACUUGGGAUAGUGUAAGUGGAUCAUGAACCACUCAAAUGACUAGAGAGAUGUACUUUUUGAGUGGGAGUUUAGCAUAUAAUUUGAUUAAGUUGAACUCUAAUUAUCUUGAACAUAGUCUAAGUCCACUUUGAAUAUAUUUGUGUUGUAGAUCAUGGCUCACGCAAGUGUCAUCCUGAAUUUUAAUACGUUCCUAGAGAAAGCUAAGUUGAAAGAUGAUGGAAGCAACUUUGUAGACUGGGCUCGUAAUCUUAAGCUAAUCUUACAAGCUGGAAAGAAUGAUUAUGUCCUUAAUGCUGCGCUAGGAGAUGAACCACCCGCUACGGCUGAUCAGGAUGUUAAGAACGCUUGGUUAGCACGUAAGGAGGACUACUCAAUAGUUCAAUGUGCAGUCUUGUAUGGCUUAGAACCGGGACUUCAACGUCGCUUUGAGCGUCAUGGAGCAUUUGAGAUGUUCCAGGAGUUGGAGUUUAUGUUUCAGAAGAACGCCCGGAUCGAGAGGUAUGAGACCUCCGAUAAAUUCUAUGCUUGCAAGAUGGAGGAAAACUCGUUUGUCAGUCAACAUGUGCUCAAAAUGUCUGGGUACUCAAACCGUCUAGCUGAGCUGGGGAUUGAACUCCCGGAAGAAGCUAUCGCUGACAGAAUCCUUCAAUCACUGCCGCCAAGCUAUAAAGGCUUUGUGUUGAACUACAACAUGCAAGGGAUGAACAAGUCUCCCGGCGAGUUGUUUGCGAUGCUGAAAGUCGCAGAGUCUGAACUCCGUAAAGAUCAUCAAGUGUUGAUGGUGAGCAAGACCACUAGUUUCAAGAGAAACGGCAAAGGCAAGAAGGGCAAUUCAAAGAAGAGCGGCAAGCCUGUUGCCAAUCCGCCGGAGAAACCCAAGGCUGGACCUAAGCCUGAAACAGAGUGCUUCUAUUGCAAGGGUAUGGGUCACUGGAAGCGCAAUUGCCCCAAGUAUCUGGCAGAUAAGAAGGCGGGCAAAGAAAAAUCAGGUAUAUUUGAUAUACAUGUUAUUGAUGUGUACUUAACCGGCUCUCGUAGUAGUGCCUGGGUAUUCGAUACCGGUUCUGUUGCUCACAUUUGCAACUCGAAGCAGGAACUGCGGAAUAGACGAAGGCUGGCGAAAGACGAAGUGACGAUGCGCGUAGGAAACGGUUCCAAGGUUGAUGCAAUUGCCGUCGGCACAGUGUCACUUCAACUACCAUCGGGAUUAGUGAUGAACUUAAAUCAUUGUUAUUUAGUGCCUGCGUUGAGCAUGAACAUUAUAUCUGGAUCUUGUUUAUUGCGAGACGGUUACUUCUUUUAAGUCUGAGAAUAAUGGUUGUUCUAUUUCUAUGAGUAACAUUCUUUUAUGGUCAUGCACCGAAUGUGAGAGGAUUGUUCAUAUUGAAUCUUGAUAGCAUACGCAUAUNNNNNNNNNNNNNNNNNNNNNNNNNNNNNNNNNNNNNNNNNNNNNNNNNNNNNNNNNNNNNNNNNNNNNNNNNNNNNNNNNNNNNNNNNNNNNNNNNNNNGGGGGGAUCGGAAAGCCUCCUCCUUUUUUUUUUGUUCUCCGGCGGCCUCUUCUUUCUUGGCCCUUCCAGGUCCCAAAGGUGACGCGGUCUUUUCCCGUGCGUGUUCGCACAUGGGGCUUCGCUACAUGCUCUCCAGUUUUGUCGCGUUUUUUUGUUUGUUUGUUUUGGAAAUACGAGUUGCCGGACCUGCGCGGCUGGCCGGCCGCCGGCGCCGGAGACGAGCGUGGUUAAACGGCGUGCGCUGUUUUUGUUCUCCAUCUUUUUUGGCCGUAUUACUGCAUUUGGGCCUCUCAAGGGUUGGAAGAAUCACGGAGAGGCGCCAUGUGCGGCGUCGUUCCUGUCACGGCUUCGCUAUCAAGGGCGCUGCUAGCCGCAAACACAAGUGACAACCGACCAAACAAACGCCACUCCGAAGCAAGUAGCAAUGGCGGCGACGGAGCCGGAUGCAUUUGCUUCUCGUUUUUCGACCAUAGAUUCAUUUGGUGGCGAAGGCUCGUCUUUUCUUUGGUUUAUCAUUACUGAUGACGGACUCGGCGGUGAUGUGCAGGGGAGAAGAAGGCGCCGGCGAUCAACUCGGACCUGUGGCACGCCUGCGCGGGACCGCUGGUGCAGCUGCCGCCGGCAGGCAGCCUCGUCGUCUACUUCCCACAGGGCCACAGCGAGCAGGUAAAAAACGCCUGUUUCUCUCCCGCCAUAUGCUGCUUUCUCCAGAUUAUUCUGUCUACUACCGAUGUCCGUUUGCUAGCCCCGUCCGUCUCUGUGGACGGAUUCCUUCUGCCUGGGGCUCCCCUUUGCCUUUGAUUGACCCUUCAAUCGUCUCUUUGCUGCCGAUCAAGUAUUUAAUUGUUUGAUCUUCAUCAGCUAUCCAACAGCAACAGCAAAGUUCGGCUCUUGUUUUAUCAUGAUUUUAAAAUAAAUAAAUAAUUGGAGCCGUCUGAGCUGCGUUCCUGUGUGGCCAAGGUUCGUUUCUGCCAUCCUGAAACUGUUGCUAAGAGAGAGUUAUCUCUGGUGAUUCGAUGUGCGGUGCUCCAUUUCGUUGAGUGGUGGUGCGAGUCGUGGUUAUCCUCGAUUUGAUUUGAUAUGACGUGAUGUUUCGCUGCUUGAGUGUUCGAGAGUCACUUGCCAUUUUCUCCCCCAUCAGAUCACUGUUUCCAGGAAUGGUUCCUUGACGACUUUCUCAAAGCACCCAUAUUCUGUUCCCCACAAAUCCCUUGAUUCACCCAUUGCUGAUUUCUUUUUCCUGGUUAUAUGAUACCAAAUACCAUCACUGCCCCCUUGAUAUACUCUCUUGUUUUUUCUUGGUGAUACUAGAGCUAGAACAAAGUUGAGACACUUAUUUCGGGAGUGAGGGAGUAUUAUGUACCUAAAUAAGUUUAUUUCGGGAGUGAGGGAGUAUUAUGUACUAAAUAAGUUUGUUUGCUACCACUGCUAUACCUUGCUCUGUCUGUUUGCUGCCGAUUUUAAGCUUGUGGCCAAAGUGGUUGGGGGAGAUUGGGGCCCUACCGGCCCCCAUCUUUUAUGGGCUUCUGGUGUGUUGCACCAUUCUCUUGCUCUCUUUGUCUGGUGGAUGAAGCAACCCAGUACCAGUACCUUCCAACGAAUUCUUGCAUUGAUUGGGUGGUGGUGCCGGGGGCAUUUAGUACUAGCAUGUUCUGCCGCACCUUUCUUGCAUUUGGCGCUGGGGUGAGAUUGUUCCGAGCAAGCCUGGGGGAUCGGGGUGAUGAAAUGCUUGGGUUUGGAAAGGAUGGUGCAGGGGGCUCGGGAGGUGCCUAAUUCUGUACGGGCCAUUGGUUUCCCUUUGCAUGCAUCCUCUCAAAUGGUUUCACUUGCUGAUUUUUCCUGUUCUGUGUCAUAAAACUGAAAUCACGACCUGAGCGUGAUGAUGUUUAAAUCCAGGUUACUUUCCAUCACAUGAUAUCACUGAGGCCGCAGAAAGAAGAAUAACAAUUAGGCAACAUGUUUUGGAUUCAGAAGUGGAAAGUGGUGUCUUAUAGUUUCAUCCCAUUGGAAGUUUAUGUACAGUUUGCAGAAAAAAAAAGCUUGCAAUUUAAGGCAAUAAUAAUCAGGGUGUGACAGACUCUUCUUCUUCCUGUGGGUUGUUGUUGGUUUCAGUUUGCGGUCCUACUUAGUAUCUCCUCCACUGAAUUUCGGAUUAUGUUUAGGUUGCUUGGCUCUGGGGUUUAAGCAUGUUCCAUUUGGUGGCAGGUUGCAGCUUCUAUGCAGAAGGAUGUCGACGCCCAUGUUCCAAACUACCCGAACCUUCCAUCCAAGCUCAUCUGCCUACUGCACAAUAUCACCUUACAUGUAAUCUACUGCCACAUGCUUAUUUGUUGUGUUUCUGCUUGUGAUCAUGUAUGCUAAAAGGAUUUAUGUUUGUUUUCAGGCUGACCUAGAAACAGAUGAAGUUUAUGCACGAAUGACUCUUCAGCCAGUUACCUCAGUAAGUGUCCCAUCUGUUUGACGUUUCUUCUCACAACUUCCCUUUUGUUCCGGUAUGCUAACAUGGUUAUUUGUACUUUGAUCGGUUUUAACUAUGAUCAGUAUGGGAAGGAGGCGCUGCAGCUAUCAGAGCUAGCUCUCAAACAAGCAAGGCCACAGAAUGAGUUCUUCUGUAAGACACUGACUGCUAGUGACACUAGUACGCAUGGAGGCUUCUCUGUGCCUCGCCGAUCUGCAGAGAAGAUAUUUCCACCUCUUGUAUGUAAAGAUUCGAGUUCGAAUUCAUUUGCUUUAUCUUAUGUAUCCUUUGUCCUUCUGAUUAAAUUUUUUGUUGUUUCGUGUUCUUCUAGGACUUCUCAAUGCAACCACCCGCUCAAGAGAUACAAGCUAGGGAUUUGCAUGAUAACGUGUGGACAUUCCGUCACAUAUAUAGGGGUAAGAAGUCUCGGCAUCGUGGAAUUCUUUCCUGCUCGAAUAGGAUCCUAUCAACUAUAAUUUAUAAUUGAUACUUGAUACUGAACUUUUGCCACUUGUAAAUGCAGUUGAUAAAAAAAUUAUACUUGCUACUCGAUACUGAACUUUUGUCACUUGUAAAUGCUCUUGAUGUAAAUUUAUAGUUCUUACUCGAUACUGAACAUUUGUCACUUGUAAAUGCUGUUGAUGUGAAAUUUUCUGUAUGUUUGUAUUAUGUCUGUACAAAUGUUUAACCGUAGUUUUGUUUUGUCAUGAGCAGGUCAGCCUAAAAGACAUCUGCUUACAACUGGCUGGAGUCUCUUUGUAAGUGGAAAGAGGUUAUUUGCUGGAGAUUCUGUCAUUUUUGUCAGGUACAGCGCAUCUUCUGACAAUAUAUCUUUGAAGUUUCAACUAAAGAAGUAUAUUGGAGAUACUGGUUUUGUUAACAUUUACAGUUCCAUAAAUCUUUUCCUACUUAUUACUCAUGGUAAAUUGACGGUGAGACUGUUCCUUGUUCAUUUUUUAAUAUAUCUGUAGGGAUGAAAGGCAGCAACUUCUACUAGGAAUCAGGCGUGCUAAUCGACAACCAACUAACAUAUCAUCAUCUGUCCUUUCAAGUGACAGCAUGCAUAUAGGCAUUCUUGCUGCAGCAGCCCAUGCUGCUGCCAACAAUAGCCCAUUUACCAUCUUUUAUAACCCAAGGUCAGUUCUGUAACUUAAUGUCCAAAUUCGAAUGUUAACUGCUGAUUAGCUCAAUCUUGGUGAAUCAAAAUUAUAUUUCAAACCAUGACAUCCAAACCUUGUAUUUUCAGGGCCAGCCCUACAGAAUUUGUUAUCCCAUUUGCUAAGUAUCAGAAGGCUGUCUAUGGUAAUCAAUUAUCUUUAGGUAUGCGCUUCCGCAUGAUGUUUGAAACUGAGGAAUUAGGAACACGAAGGUAUUUUAUUGCUCAUUUUAUUUUUCUGUUUCAAGUUAUUGGCUACUCAUAUUCUUCGUAUGUUCGUUUUUGAAAAAAAAAGAUUCAUGUAGAUCUUGCCAUAUACUCCAUAUUAUAUGAUUAGCUUAGUGUGGUUUGGUGAUGCUUUUACUAAAUGACUAGACUGAGCGCUCCUUCCAAUUUUCAACCUUUUGGUACCUGACAUAUGUUAGCAUGUUGCAGGUACAUGGGCACAAUAACUGGUAUAAAUGAUUUAGAUCCUGUAAGAUGGAAAAACUCUCAGUGGCGUAAUUUACAGGUUGGUUCAGUCAUUAGAUUGGGUAGCAUUAUUUUACGUCACCCAGCCCUUUCUGCUGCUGAUCCAAGAACUUUUCUUUGAACAGGUUGGUUGGGAUGAAUCUGCAGCAGGUGAACGACGGAACAGAGUUUCAAUCUGGGAGAUUGAACCGGUCGCUGCUCCAUUUUUCAUAUGCCCGCCUCCGUUUUUUGGUGCGAAGCGUCCCAGACAACUAGGUAGACUUGGGAUUACCUCAGCGCCACUUAUUUUGUAUCUUCUCAAUUACCAUUUGAUGAGUUGGUGAUCCAGGAUGACAAUAGUUAAAUCAUGUUAUAUUUUGACUGCACAGUUGGGAAAGUAGGCCCGCUCCAGGGGUGUGGUGGUUGUGUGGAUGUAGUGUUAUAUUGUAUUACGUCCGUCCCAAAAUUCCUGUCUUAAAUUUGUCUUGGCUAAAUAUGGAUAUAUCUAAGACAAGAAUUUUAGGACGGAGUAUAUGCAUCUAUAUCUCUGAUACCUUCGUCUAGAUGCCCUAAUUUAAAGCUAGUACUUACCUUUUUGCAAAGAACAUCGUUACUCUGCGAUCCUUGGGAAAACAAUGAUGUUUGAGCUUUAGAGAAUCUAUCAGACUACCAUUUUUGUUUUCAUAUACAUGGAUCCAGCAUCCAUGCCAUGAAAACAUAUUUAUGAUGGAGCAUUAUAGCUAGACAAGCCAUUAUUUUAUUGUAGUCCAACACCAAAAUGGUUCUGGAUAAUCUUCUCAUGUAGUAAUAGUUUAGUUGAUUAUGUGCUUAUCUGAAUUUAAGAUCCAACCAAAGUUUGUGAGUUCUAAUUUCUCAAGUUUUUUAUCGAACUGGGCUUACGCAUGCUCAUAAAUUGAUCCCGGUUGUGUACUUACAGAUGACGAGUCCUCAGAAAUGGAGAAUCUCUGGAAGAGGGCUAUGCCUUGGCUGGGUGAAGAGAUAUGCAUAAAGGAUCCUCAGACACAGAAUACCAUAAUGCCUGGUCUGAGCUUGGUUCAGUGGAUGAACAUGAAUAUGCAACAGAGCUCAUCCUUUGCAAAUACAGCCAUGCAGUCCGAGUACCUGCGGUCAAUAACUAACUCCAGUAUGCAAAAUAUUGGUUCCAGUGAACUGUCGAGGCAGUUGUGCUUGCAGAACCAGCUUCUGCAACAGAACAACAUGCAGUUUAAUUCGCCCAAACUUCCUCAGCAAAUGCAGCCGAACAAUGAUUUGUCCAAGGCUGCCGUUCCAUUGAACCAGAAUGGUAUGAGCAUCAAACAACAAGAACAGACUCAAGAUGCAAGCAACUUUCAGAGGCAACAGCAGUCCAUGAACUAUGCACUUCCUUUGAGCCAAGCUCAAACCAAUCUUGCCCAAGCUCAGGUCGUUGUGCAGAAUCAGAUGCAGCAGCAGCAGCCGCAGCCACAUACAUCUCAAAAUCAGUUGCCAUCCGUCAGCCAGCCGCUCAUGUCCCAUCAGCAGCAGCAGCAGCAGCAACACCAACAGCAGCAGCAACAACAACUGCAGCAGCAGCAGAAACAACAAGAACACCAACAUCAGCAACAGCAACAGCAGCUGCAGCAGCAAAAAUUUCUACAGCAGCAACAGCUUCUAAUUCAGCAAGAGCAGUUACAACAACAUCAACAACAUCAACUCAGUAAGAUGCCUGCGCAGCUACCAAAUCUGUCAAAUCAGCAGCUGCAGUUAUCGGAUCAGCAGCUUCAGCUUCAACUCCUGCAAAAGCUACAGCAACAGCAGCAAGCAUUGCUGUCCCAACCUGGAAUUACCCUUGCACAAUUACCUCUGAUCCAAGAACAGCAGAAGUUACUUAUGGAUAUGCAACAGCAGCUGUCAAGCUCCCAUUCACUUUCCCAGCAACAGAUGAUGCCUCAACAAAGCACAAAAAUCCCAUCACAGGCAGCAUCACUGCCACCACCCAUGCAGCCAGAUACUACACAACAGAAGCUUCCACAGAAGCAAGCUCUGCCUGCAGACACCUUAGAAGCUGCCAUUCCUUUGACCACAUCGCGUAAAUUUGGUUCAGCAAAUGGAAGCCCUUUAAGGAUGCCUGGUGCUACACAUUCUGUAGUUACUGAAGAAAUCCCUUCUUGCUCAACAUCCCCUUCCACUGCUAAUGGUAGUCAUCUUCUACAACCAGUCACUGGUAGGGACCAAUAUUCUAGCAUGAUCAACACGGAGAAGGCACCCCACUCAAGUGCUCCCAUGUCAGUUCCAAACUCCCUUGACGCUGUCACAGGAGCUCAAAGAAUGACAAAGGAAUUACCAAAGUUGAAUUCCAAUGUAAAGCAAAAUACGAUGUCUUCAAAAUUACCGAAUGGAGGAGCUGGUCUCCAAACUUUUGCGAACAACGCAGCUCCGACAGACUAUCUAGAAACAGCUUCUUCAGCAACUUCAGUUUGGCUUUCCCAGACUGAUGGACUUCUACAUCCAAAUUUCCCUAUGUCCAACUUUACUCAGCAGCAGCUGUUCAAAGAUGCACCUCCAGAUACUGAAAUUCCUGCUGAAGUUCCAAGUAAUAAUGCAUUGUUUGGAAUUAGCAAUGAUGGGCAUGUGGGCUUCCCUAUGGUAACUGAUGACUUCCUGACGAAUGGGAUUGAUGCUGUCAAGUAUGAAAAUCAUAUCUCUACAGACAUUGAUAACAGCUAUAGAAUACCAAAGGAUGCCCAGCAAGAGAUAUCAUCCUCCAUGGUUUCACAGUCAUUUGGUGCGUCAGACAUGGCGUUUAACUCAAUUGACUCUGGAAUCAACGAUGGCACCUUCUUGAACAGAAGUUCUUGGCCGCCUGCUCCCCCAGUGAAGAGGAUGAGGACGUUUACGAAGGUUAGUGCCUUCCCUUUUCUUUCACCUAAAUAUUGAAUGCUAUUUUCAGUGCAUUAUCUUUUAUAAUGUCCAGUAUGUUUGCCCUAUGAAAUAACCAAGAAGCGUAUCUUCAUUUUGAAUUUACCAUGGUAACAUAGUUGGAAGAUGAAAUACUGAACUAUAAACCAAAGGAUCAAUCUCCCUUGACCAUGUUCUUAAAUGUUAGGAAAAUACUCAUAUGAGCAACAUGAAUUACAUAACUAGUCUUCACCAAGGUACACCCAAGGUGUAAAAUGUGACUACUGUCAUGUAUGGAAAAUGAUUAUGUUCACAUUUGAUCUGUGUAUGUGUGGUUCAUGAGAUGCUCAGGUAGAUCUGAUAAGUUGAAUAGUUUCGGGAUGUUGCUGUAACUUGAUCAGUGUGGCCAAUUCUAUACUAAAGCAUUGGUCUCUUUCUCAUAUUCAUGAGUACCUUUUCCAGUUGCAUCUUUGCCUAACCUAACGGUCUGUGUAGGUUUAUAAACGUGGAGCUGUGGGCCGGUCUAUCGACAUUAGUCAAUACGCUGGAUACGAGGAAUUAAAGCAGGCUCUGGCUCGAAUGUUUAGCAUAGAGGGGCAACUUGAGGAACGACAGAGGAUUGGCUGGAAACUUGUCUACAGAGAUCAUGAGGAUGACAUCCUACUUCUUGGCGACGACCCUUGGGAGUAAGUUCAUCGGUCCUCCCAUUUAUGCUUGCGUGAACUCUGAAUUGACUCAGAAUGCCAUAUAUCUGGACGCCUCUGAAAUAAUAUACUAGUCAAUGUGGUAAAAUACUCCCUCUGUAAGUAGUGAUCUAAAAGGUCUUAUAUUUCUUCACAGAGGGAGUACUAGAUAUGCAAGUGGUAGAGACAAUGUGAAAGAUGGUCUACUGGAACAAUGAAUCUGACCGAAAUGCAUAUACAAAAUUGAACUUGUGUUUUUGUUGAUGCUUGCACAUAUUUUUGCGCUAAUCGUAGUUGUUGAUGUUGGCUGUACAGGGAGUUUGUCAACUGCGUGAAGUGCAUCAGGAUCCUUUCGCCUCAGGAAGUGCAGCAGAUGAGCUUGGACGGCGAUCUGGGGAGCAGCAUUGUCCCCAACCAGGCGUGCAGCAGCUCGGAAGGUGGGGGCAAUGCCUGGAAGGCUCGCUGUGACCAGAACUCCGGCAACCCUUCCACCGGUUCAUACGACCAGUUUGAAUGACCUAAUUUACCAGUCUAUACACACCGCAAUGGCGUCGGUCUAAGUAGACAUCCUGGGUGUGCGGCUCCAGGAUGUUGUAGAUUCUGUCAGCUUACAUCCUGGAGCGCAAACGGCUCAUCGGAUUAGUGGUGUUAUGUUUAUAUGUGUAGUUGUUACAAGAAAGGAAGUAGGCAUGGGUAAAUUAAGCUUACCUAGAAUUGGAGAGGGUUAGGGGGGAUAUGUUGUACUAUUGGUAAGGCAAGUUCUGUAGUUACCUGAUGCUUCCUCUGUUGUGAGGAAAUUCUUAAGAUCUCCAUGAGUCUCAAGUUAGCAUCUGCGGAAGCUAUAUUUUUUUACCUUGCAAUUCAUCACUUUGAUGUCUGAUGUCAUCUGGACACGACGAAGAAAAAACAACCUGAUAUAAUUCAAAAAUAGCUUUUGCACAACAUAGAAAUUUAAAGGAUACAUCAUUGAAUGAUUGAUCAUUCAGGGUUUUGUUUUCGAUCUUUCUGUAAGAAAAAACACAGGUUAAACACUGCACGAAGAAGAUAAUUUUUGGCCAAUUUUACUUCAAAAACCUUCUGAUAGCACCUCUCAGCAUGAAAACGAAUCCACCCAGUAACAACCAAUUGGAGAAUCAGUUGUAAAUAUGCAAAAACUUCAUGCAUUAACAACACAUAUUUCAUCUCAAUUCUCACAGAAAAGAUUUUAUUCUGAUACGCACCACUACUUGGAUCGUCAAGGGUCUCACAGAAGAGAUUGCAUUCUAAUUUGUUCUAGUGAGAAUGAUCCUAUAAAGAACUUAUUCACAAAUCUGAGGAUAUAAGCUAUAAAGAUCUUAUCCGCAAAUCUGAGGAUAUAAGCUGUUUCGGAUAACACUAAUACAACACACUGAUGAAUCGGUUCUCCAUGAAGAACGAUCGAAGAACUCAACUCUCGACCUGCGUAUCCGAUUUAGGCUGUUCAUGCUCGUGCAUGAAAGACUGGUAGGUCUCGACCCGGGUCUUGUGUUCAGGCCGUUCGAAUCCAUCCAUGAAUCCAAGUGUCAUCGUUAGGAAAUCCUUCAUGUGAAGCCUCUUCCACUCCUAUAGUGGCUGAUGUAAUUAGUACGCAACAAAUAAUUUGUCCCCGAAAGCAAAAUUCACAUCGACAAAUAGUGGAAACCGAUCGGUUUGAAAAUUAUCAGAGUAAAUGCAUAGUAGACUACAACCACAGAAGCAUUUUGUUCUCAAAUGGGCAGAAAAAGGUGGCAGUCAGCCCUCUCUGCUGAAUAUGAACAUAAAAAUGGAGUUAACACUUUCUUUCAGAAGCAAAAUUACCUACAUGAGCUCAUCAUAAAUAGUGCGGUUCAUUGUGUACAUUAGCAUAAUCUUAUGGGGCAAACAUUCGUAUUGUGAUUCUUCUGUCACAACUCAUAACUUCGGUGAAAUCUAUCAACAUUUGUAUUAUUGAUCAGAAAGGGUUCGGUUGCAGUGUGACUUGGGAACACAAUAAAUGUGUUCAUUCCAAAAAUCAAGUGCGGGACUGAAAGAACUGAAAUCAGAUGCAUCAAUAGAUCACAAAGAAAUGAGACACCCUCACCUCAAAAUCCCAUUCACCAUACAGAUCUGGAUCCUCUGCAUCACUCCAUAUAUAAGUGUCAGCAUGCAUUGUCUCUGAAGUAUCCUGUAAUGCCAAACUUUCUUUGAGCAAAACCAUCUAAAACGACAAGUUACCAGCUUCAAACAGUUUCUGAUCACAGCAAGACCAUGAACAACGGGUCACUUCAGUUGAAAAUAAACUUACGGUGAGUGAUAUCUGAACUCUUCUCCUUACAUACUCAAAAUCCUCAAAUGCAUCUAAGACAAUGAGUUCUGCAUCAGAAAUGCCCAUGAUAACCUGCAGAGCAGUAAGCAUAAGUAGGAAAAGGGUGUAGCUGGGAAUCAAAGCUAAACGAUUGGCCUUAUUGCAAAAGGAGAAAAAACUAUAGCACAUAACGGUCCAAGCCAAGUGAGAAAUUGACUUCACAGAAACAGAUGCAGUUAUUACAACAAUUUCAUGGUUUCAAAAUUAUAUGAGUUUCUAAAUUUAGUAAUAACAAGAGCAAAUGCUGGAUCACACAAAAUUAGACGCGACCAACUGUCUGACCAAAGCAACUUUUAAGAACGAGAAGCUUGUUGGCCCGAACUCCCCCAAAAUUAUUGACUUAACAAUUUUAAACUUACAAUAAAAACUCCAGCACUUCGCUAUUCUGGGGUGAAAAGCCUGAGAAACCAGACACGUAAGGCUAACUCCACCGCACCGUCCGUUUGGGGUAAAAGGGACAAACUGGUUGGCCCAGCGCGAGACGGCCCGGACCCAUCUUGUCCGUUUUGUGUCCGGGGCGACCCAUUUCGAGCGCAAACUUGCGCGGGGUUUGGGUCGUGACGGACAGCGAACGGACGCCCGCUCGUCCGUUCCGGGCCGCGUGGCAGGCGGCCACCUACCUCCCACCCGCCCACAUCAAUGCGCACGAGCGGCCGGGCCCGCCUGUCAUCCGCCCAAGAAACGGUCGCGGUCCUUCUUAAAUGGGGAAGCCGUGGACCGGUCGUCGUCCACACUUCCCACUACACCCCGCGGCCUCCUCGAAACCCGACACCCCAAACCCUAGCCUCGAACUCGCCGGCCGGCCGCCUCGCAGCCAUGGCGCACGCAGUGGGGGGCGUGAACUGGUGCCCCACGCCGCCGCGGUCACCGGAGCGGGACGCCUCGCCACGGGAGGAGGUGGUGCAGGCACCUGCCAGCUUCCAGCCCGCCCCCGCGCACCAGGGACCGCCGGCCUACGUCGACCUCGUCAGCGACGACGACGACACCGGCGGCCAUUGAAGACGGCGACGGCCACGGCAUUGACGGGCGUUUUUUAUUUUUUAUUUAUGUUAAUUAUGUCAACGACGGUGAAACUGGCCCGUUUUGUGGUCGUGACCCUUAAUUUUAUGUUUUAAGUUUUUUUAACUGCGUUUAUUUACUUUUUAUUUAAGUUUUUCUAAUUUUUUUAAUCACGUCCAACACGGAUAUGAUUUGGGGUGCGGCCGCACAGUGGGCGUACGCACGACCCAACGGUCAGAAGCGGACGUGGGCGAACACAUUGCCGCCCCAAACGGACAAAAUCCGGCCAAACCGGACAUCCGUUUGGGGUCGUGCGGUGGAGUUGGCCUAAAAGCAGAGAGAAACUAUAUGCUCUAACGACAGCGGUGGAACCAAGGGAACAGGGUACAGCCAACUGAGAAAAUGAUAAGCUUAUUAACAAAUCUGUAAAUGUAGAAAAAUGACAAAAAGGAAAAAAUGAUAAACAGCUGAGCUCUGUAGAACAGUUAAACAGUUAACAAACCUUUCCAGCAACCAUCUUGCUUUCAACAGGCAGGAUUGCUGGAUAAAUACGACCCUUGAUGUUAAACCUGUGGCUGCAAAGAAUGGCAUCCGAUGUCAAAACUUAGCUUCCAACUUGGAAGUAAAUCAAUAUGGAUGGAGAACUAGAAUAGUGUAAAAAAGAGCUCUAGUUCAAGAGUCAAAUUACAACAAGAACAGCAGAUCAUCUCCAUACAUGUUUAAUUGCUCAAGACAGUUUGUUACCGGUACGAGCACAAGAAAUCCUAUCAAUUCUAAAACCUAGAAAUGGACAACGGUCCUGCCAUAACACGGGCAAGUUCAGGAUUCCCAUGUCAAACAUGAAGUCCUUUGUUGCAUUUAUGGCCAUUAAGGGUCUCAAAUUGCAGUGAAUUCGAGCUUCCACAUAGUGUUCCAUUUUUAUCCUAGAGCUCCUAGCUACAUAGUACAAGUUGGCUGUUUUAUCACCGCAUAUUGGGUACUGAAUGGAUUGUGAUCACUCGGUCAAUCCCUGGCUAAUCAAAAACACGAUCUCGUCGCCAAGCACAUCAAUUAGUCAAUUCGACGAACAAGCAUAACAGGGGAAGCGAGAGCGAUGACUAGAGGCUAGAGAGGAUUAUUUGGUGGGGGUGAAGCAGGGAUCGGGAACCACCGAGGAUGACGGGAGCGGGAAAGAAAGGGGCGAGCGUGUGGUAUCCGUACUAGUUGGUGAGGAGCGCCGGGGAGGAGGCCGGGACGCGCUUGAGGAUGGCGGUGACCACCUCGUCCGCCAUCAGGCUCCCGUACACGAACACGCUGUGCGCUCCGCCCGCGGCGACGACGGCGGUGGCGGCAGGAGGAGUCGCCGCCAUGGGCUCGGGAGCAGGAGAUGAGCGGGGGGAGGAGGGGGUUGGGUGCUUGUUGCUGACACUUGGCGUGCCACAGAGGGAUGGAUACGUACGACCGAGACCGAGCUCAGGCUGUGGUGGGCUGUCAAUUGCUCUGCUGCGUGAGCAAGCACAGCGAGCGCGCUCUUUAAAUACGAGUACAAAAUUUUAAUUGAGGAAAUAAUAUUUUUUUCAAACACAAUUACAGAUGCAAACGCCAUCUCAUGUACACGCACAUACACUUAUCUCUAUAAACGCAUGCACAUUAUUUCUAUGAGCAUCUUUGAGAGACCGAGUCAAAAAUAAUACUCCUAGUAUAUCUGCUUUGGAUGGAAUAAUUUUCGUACUCGCUCCUUUCCGAUUUAUAGGGCUUAAAUCUAAAAUCUCAUCAACCAAAAUGAAUUAUGAAUGGAUGUCACUAGUUUCAACUAGCCAAUAAAAUAUUUCCCACGUAUUCAAUUACCGAGGCAAUAAAUGUAGCAUCCGCCCUUUUCAUUGGACUUGCAUGAUGAAUGUAAAAAAAAAUGCAUGCUUGUCCACUAAUUUCCUUUUUCUAAUCUCUAUGAAUUAAAUAUGGCGUGGUACUCAAAGCACAUUAGUUUAAUUAGACUCAAAAUGAGCUUAAUAUAGUGAAAAUCUAUUUUUUUUUAAGAUGAGCCCUAUAAACCGAAAAGGAGGGAGUAUUUUUUUAGCAUAAUGCAAUCAAAGUAGUUUAUAUACAUGAAUAUACCCUUAUUCAUAGGAACGCACACAUUUUUAUGAUCAUCUUCAAAGACUGAAUCGACACGUCAUUUUAAGAUUGAUAAUGUCGGCAUACACGUCUUCAUAGUCGGUGAGAACAUUUCCUACCCCUAAAUGCAUUUCAUCAAAAUAUCCAAAAUAAAUUCAAAAAAAUACGAACACCAAUGUCUAAUCUGUGACUUGAACUCUCCAGAAAAUACCACUGUCUUCUUAACCGUCCAUUCACUCGUGAGUUCGCUUUUCAUAUAAAUUUUUCAGUGUGCAUUGUUUUAAACACAGUGCAUCAACUUCACAUACACUCAUCUUUCUUAACACAACUUAGAUAACUCUUAUAAUUUUUGUGCGUGGAAGCCUCUGACCAACAGAUUAAGAUCAUGCUUUGUAUAAUCGAGUAAAUUUGUUCACGUCAUGCCAUCGAUGAAUGCAAGAAGGAUAAGGCCGUGAGGACUUGGAUUUAUUUUUAAACUUUUGAAAGGGCGUUCUUUUAAGGAUAUACCCUACUUAAUACUUUUUUCGUUCCAAAAUAAGUGGCUCAAAAAUGACUAAAUUUUGUACUAACAGAGGAAGUAUAUGCCAUGUGGCCUUUUUCCUAAAAGGAAGUUGUUUUUUUCCUAAAAAAGAAGAAGUUGCUUUUGCAGAAUUAAGUGUGUUAUUUUUCUAUGAGAUUCUUCUUGCGAAAAAAACUUUCAAUCUAUUCAUUUUCAAUAAUGUGAGUACAACAAACACUAGAAAUACUAAUUUUUUAUCUAGAUUUAUAAACCAUCUAAGGACGAUUAUAAGCGUCGAAACGAGCGGGAGCCGGGUAAAACUUAUUAUAGUAGACAGUUCGAAAGUUUUCAUGGAAAUGCCACAUAGGACCAGCACACCACAACAACAACCAUCAUCGUAGAGUAGCGUAGAUCGAAAGGAUCCAACUUGAAGACACAUGAACGUAGACAAACGAUGAUCAAAUCCGAGCAGAUUCACCAAAGACAAACACACCUUCACACGUCCACCAACGAUGCUAGACGCACCAUCAGGGCGGAGGCUAGGCGGGAAGAACCUUAUUCAAUCUUGAAUGUGCCGCCGUCAUCUCGCCUUCCGGAGCAAGACAAAAACCCUAACAAAACUAAAAAAAACAUAAAAGAGCUCUCUCACUGACAAAGAUACGGAUCCACCAUGCCAUAAUGACCAUAGGCCUAGGGACACUAGAGACGAGUGCCACCUACAGGGAGGCAGAGGAACCCUAGACUUUUUUUUGGAAAUGAGGCGUAUUAAGAAAUCAACAUGAGGGGUAACAGCUUGUAUUUUUCCUUUGAGAUUUGGAGGUUCUAUUCAUGUUUUGAGAGUAAUAUUGUCCGAAGAGGCCAACCAUUGUUCGAUAUGGUUAGUAGAGGGGUUCUAAGAGCAUCUAUAGCAGGACCUAGUAAAUAUGACUCCCUAAGAGAAUCUACAUCCAGGCCACUCAUAUCGUCUCAAAUGCCCGGGGAGGCCCCCCGGUCAUUGACCGCCCAUGAAAUUUCGACCCAACUGGGCGCCUCAAAUGGGCCUCAAACACUAGGGUUGACUGGCACCCCUCAUAUCCAGCCCAAAUAUAGAGAGGAUAUGGGGGCGUCCGGGAGCGCCCGAGCACGCCCGCCAUGCCAGACCAAAUAACGUGAGCCCAUCGCAAAUUGCGGCAAAUCCACCCGGCAGAACUGUCGGAUCCAUUUGCACUUUGCUCUUUUCUUCCUCCUCCGCGUCGUCCGUCACGCAACUCCGCUGCCGUGCACACUUUGUCUCCGUUCCUAGCCUGUGCCCGCCAACUCCGACAUAGAAGUCUUCUGUCCCAUCCUCACCACCGAGGACGUCGUCACCGGCCCGGAAGACACGGCGGUACAUCCGACAACUCUCUAGCUUCAGAGAGUUUCCAGAAAUGCCGGAAUCAAUUGAUUGCAUGCAUUGGCAGUGGAAGAACUGCCCCAAAGGUUUGUGAUGAAUGUAUCAAGGUCCAACCACAGGGCCACCAUCAUACUAGAAGCGGUGGCAUCACAUGACUUGUGGAUUUGGUAUGCUUUCUUUGAAAUUUCGGGUUCUCGCAACGACAUUAACGUGCUUCAACGAUCUCCCAUGUUCAAGAGGCUUUGCAAUGGGGAACCAUCACCGUGCAACUACACCGUCAAUGACCGAGACUACAACAUGGAAUCACUACUAGGAAAUACCUUAUAGAUAGUAUAUGGGCCCCGCUGUUGCUAAUUAGUAGUAGUGAGGGGUAUAAACCCCUCACUAAGUUGAUAGUAGAAGUGCGAGCUAUAAACCCACACUCUUACUAAGUGGUCUCCACUGUGCCCCGGGGACAUGCCGUAGUAGUAGCGAGGGGUAUAAACCCCACACUGCUACUAAGUACAUGGUUUUAACUGCCAUGAAAUCUUCAUCUCCUCCCCCCAAACCCUUCCUCUCUCUCUCUCUUCACUCUCGCCCCUUUCUCUCCAUAGGCUCUCACAUGGACCUCCUUCCCAUGCGCAUCUCCUCCUCCAGGGAUCCAAAAUAGGCUUCCACCUCGCGUCGCCGGCGUUCAGGAGCUCGCUGGUCUUCCCCGACGUCUCCAUCCCACCACGUCGGAGCACCUCACCACUGGUGCCCAGCCCCGCUGCUCCCCACAUCUCCUUCCUCUCUCUGUCAUUAUUCUUUUUAUCUCUCUCCCUUUGGUUUGACUCACGUUCCCAUGUCCAUGACCGUGCAGGUUGUCGCCAUGGAUGACCAGGAGGCUCUCUGCCUUGGCUGCGAGCAGCCCAACGCCGCCGCCUUGCUCUGCCCUUGAUCCAGACUCUCUCCAGCAGCCGCCGCCUAAUCAGGUUUGUCGCCGCUCGUUCGCGCCUCCGAAUACCCCUAUCGUGGCUGCAUCGAACCAUUUCUGCCAUUGACAACACGCACGGGAUCAAGAUUUCUAUUUUUAUUUUUGAAAUUAAUAUUAGUAACGCAGGGUAAAAGACACGCGCCACAGAUAAUAAGUAGUAGCGCGGGGUGGCACCCGCUCUACUACUAACAGACGUAGUAAUAGCGCGGGGUGGUACCUGCACCACUACUACCCAGUUAGCUGUAGCGCCCUAGUUAUAUCACGUGCACCGGUGCUACUACUAGUUGUUUAACCCGCGCUACUACUAGGCUUUUCCCUGGUAGGAGAGACUAUCUUGCCUAUGUCAUAUAUUCGAGCGGACUGCAUUUGUUAAAACCAUAUCCGAACCAUAGGGCAAUAAACAAAAGGACUUCGCAACAAUGCAUGAAACAACUAGGAAGGAAGGUGAGAGGGCAUUCAGAGUGCUGCAAGCUCAUUGGUGAAUUGUUCGUGGGGCUGCAAUGAUGUGAGAAUUAGAAACUUUGUGGAAACUGAUGACAUGUUGUGUUAUUUUGCACAAUAUGAUUGUCGAGGAUGAGGGUGAUGGUCCAAGGAGCGCUAUAUUAUGCAAAAUAAUUUGCACAAUGUUAUUUUGCAGUGACAAAUGAUUUUUGAAGCACCUCGAGAACAAGUUGAAAUCCCGAAAGAUCAAGAUGCUACUCAGCUUAUAAACUUUCUAUAGAUGCAUCAGAAUAUAUGAGAUCAUCAGAUGCACAUGCAACUACUCAAUGAUCUAGUGGAUCAUAUGUGGACGCACAAUGAAAACCAAAAAACAGAUGAUUGAUUGUGCACUUCAAAUAAAUUUUAUGUAAUCACUAUUUAUGUUCGCUACCAAAUUUUUUUAUUUACGCGCGACAAUGGUUUGUAUGAUCGACAUGCAUGGUUUUACAUGGAUUUGAGAGUCCGAAUAUGAGAUAUGUGGAUCCGGUGAGUGAAAUCUAAGGGGCCAUCCGGAUGCGCCCCCGGGCGUGCUCGGGCGCGUCCGCAUACGUAUAUGGGGCCGUAUUUGCCCAGUCCGACUGUAGAUGCUCUAAAAGCCCGCAUACGCGUCCGGUCAGUGUCUGGACAUGUCCCCUAUUUGUUCGUCUAAGUAGCCACACUCCUAUGUACGAUCACUUGCACGUGAUUGAUGGAGAGGAGGAACACAAAAUAAAAUAAUGAAUAAAGAAAGAAAAAUGUGGUCCGGAGUGGGCCGCGUCCUAUGUGGCCGACCGAUCGGAUGUGCCCGAGACCGUCCGCGAGCCCUCAUAUCGUCUCUGGAUUUAAGAUGGAUAUGAUGGGUGUCGGUCAAUCCAGACGUUUAGGAAGGAAGUAAGGUUUCGGUUGGGUUAAUUUUCUCGAUCUGACAUUAACCGGGAGGAUAUUUCGGACGUUUAAGAAAGAUAUAGAGGUCCGAGUGUAGAUGCCCCAAACCUCAUUAGGAAUUAAUACCCUAUAUUUAACGUGAUUCGAGUUCUCUUGAAACAAAAUAGUUAUUCCCUUUAUUCUUAAAUAUAUGACGUUUUGAUAGUUUAAUUUAAACAGUCAAAACGUUUUACAUUUAGAAACUCAGAGGCAGUAUUUCAGUCAAAGGUGAUGUCUCCACGGAACACUGACGCAACGAUGGUGAUGCGAGCGUACUUUUGCUGUUCUACUUGGUGUUUCUUUAACAUGAAAAUAAUGAAGUCCAAGGAGCCCUAUAUUUUGGCAAACGCACUUGGCCACGUGAAGAUCACUAGACAGCACGUUAAAAAUGACUUGUACUGAAUUGAAGAUCCGUAGGGAUGGUGCAAAUGGAAGAGGACUUGUUCGUCGUGGAGCUGAAAAUUGAGUCAGAUACGGUUUUAAUAAUCUAAACACUUUUAUAUUAGUUUAUAGAGUGAGUACUUGCGAAGAUAGACUUGUGUAGCACGGCGAUACCGUGGUGUCAGCUGAAUAUGAUUGUAACGUAAGUACGUUACUGUGAUCAUGGUGAUCCAUUGGUUGCAAUCCCUCCAUGAGAUGACCAUGAUCUUGUUGUAACCUAUACGCUACUGGGCGAUAUUGAUACAACAGCUGUCCAUGUGAGGCAGAUAGGAUCGUCUUCAGGAAUUCGGGGCCUGAUGAGAAAUAAAAAAUAAGUUUAUUUCUUUUACAAAAAAUGUAUAACUAACACUGUAGAACUAAACGUACUUUCACUUAAUUAUGUAGUUUUGAAUAUGUGUUAUUUCAUACAAUAUUUGAAAAAAUAUAAUACACUAAUGUCAAAGAGUAAAUGUAGUGCUGAAACAAUAAAGUUUUCUUUUCGUGAAUUUUACUGAAACGUAAAUUGGACACGUGUUUUGCUAAAAAGCAUCUCCGUCUAUUAUUUUUUGAAACACAUUUUUUAAAUCCAUUUAAUCUACUAGCAGGAAAAGGAACUAGAAAUUAUAUUAUGGCUAGUAUGUUAAUAAGAUUAAUUUUUAUUAAAGUUAAAUACAUUUUUUAGACAAAAUGCUAAGCUUUAUUACUGAUAAUCUAUAUGAAGUGGGAUACAAUUCGGAUCGAGAGGGUUAACCCUCACGGUUGAUUAAAGUUAAAUACAUGCCUAAUUAAGCAGGCGAGCACACAAGUACACUCACUGUAGAGAGUAUGCCCAGUAACGUAACUAGCCUCCCUUGUAUUCUGUUUGGGUCUUUUACAUUUUUUUGAGGGGUGGGUCUUUUACAAAUUGGAUGGAAAGGAAAGUGGUGAAAUUGAUACUAGGCCAAUUAUGGGUCUAUCGGCUAGGUACCGGGGCCUCGCUGUAGCAAUGGUAAGCUGUGGAGUAUCAAACCAAAAUUUUGACCGCAACACAAACCCGUUACCUCAACAAUUCACAAUAUAAUGGUGGCCAAAGGAUAUGUCGUACACUCUCCGCAUCCAACGCCAUCAUAUGAUCAUUGAGUACUUGCUUCUUCCAUACUCUGUUGAUAGGAUCAAUUAGAUCGGCGACCAUAAGUGUUCCCGAUUUCAGAUGUGCAACAUGUUUCAUCAUGACCUCGCUUGGGAUCCAGUUAUCCGUUCACAUGUGCGUAGAUUGUCCAUCACCGAUCCUUCUAACCAGAUCGUAUUUCAAAACUUCUCCGCUCUCCAGAAUUAAUCCCCAAAUUUUAUACGGCCUUGCCCCUACCUGAGAGGUUGAAAAGUCAUCAUUAGGAUAGUACACCGGCUUCAAAUUUUGAGCACUAAGGCUUAAAUGGUUCUGAAUCAGUCUCCACACUUGUUUAGCUGGCAUGGUCAAAUUAAAAAAAAUAAUCUAUUUUUCUAAAACUCAAUCCUCCCAUAUACUUCGGUUGUGUCGUAUCAUUCCAAGUUGCGCACACUGCUUUUCUCUUUUCUUCUAUUGCACCCUACCAAAAUUGCCUCAAUAAUUUAUCAAUUUUCUCACACAGUUCUCAAGGUAAUUUGAAACACCCCAUUGAAUAGGUGGGGAGUGUAUAUGACACCGACUUUAUAAGAACUUUCUUCCUAGUCACUGGUACAAUCAUCUCAAUCCAUCCGUCUAUAUUAGUUGAAAGAGGCAGUUAAACUUGCUCUCAAUGUACAAUCUGAAACUCUUUUUUUUUAGGUAAAUCUGAAACCCUAUUUUUUUUGAGCGAAUCUGAAACUCUAUCUUUUUAUUAAAAAAAAUCAGAUUCUCUUAAAUUUUUUUUGAGCGAAUCUGAAACUCUAAAUGCUACCAGUCUAGGCGGUACCUGUUACAUGGGCUGUAAACUGACCUAAUAACAAUGUACACGGAGGCCCAUCGAACAACAACACUCACGGCUCGGCCCGACUGGGCCGCCCGCCCGUCCCACGACUCCAACUCUACCCAGGAUUGUCUAAAAAAAAAAAAAUCUACCCAGGAGGCCAGCCUGGGCACGACUCCACCGGAGGAGCCUGCCGUCCCCGUCGCAGCUCGCCGACGACUUCGACCGCGCGGCUCCACUCCGCUCCGUCCUCCGCUGGAGCUCGCCGGCGCCAUCGAUUCUUCCUCUCCUUCUCCCUCUCGAGGUGCUGGAACCUUUCUUCCGGUGAGUACAGAAACGCCCCCCCGCAUCAGCUAUCCACUCCGUUCGAAAUCCCAACAAUUCUCCGUCUCUCUCCGCCGAAUCCGUCCCCAACCAUCUCCCCCUCUCCCUGCCGCAGCACGGCGCGUCUUCUCCCUGACCGGCGCUCCCCGGCCGGUGGAAAGGAAGGGCUAGGUACAUACUCGCGAGGCGGAGGCGGGGGACCGGGAGCCAUGGGCACCUCAGCGGCCGGGGUAACGGAUCUCUGGAAGCAAAUAGACGACGCCGAGUGGUAAGAUUCCUCCUCCUCCCUCUGCCCCGCUACUCUGUUUCGUGGUCGUACUUGUUAGCAUACGUGUUCAUCCUGCUUGCUCACCAGUCACCACCAUGUAAUUGGACAAAUAAAAGAUAAUUGUCUUUCUACAACAUUACUAGCAGCAAAUUUCGUUCUAUGCAAUUUCCCUCACUCUGAAAGUGUAGCAAGAUUUACUCAGACCAGUCAAUGGACAUGCUUUCGAUGCUAAUUGCUAGGUAGACAUUGGCACUUCCUUUCUUCCAAUUGCUGAUGACAGUUUGCGUAGUUGACCCUGGUGUAUUCAUAUUUUUAGCAUGCAAGAUUCCAAAGGGGGAGAUAAAAGAUUGGAACUUGUUCACUUACUCUGUUGCAACUAUCAUGGUUCAGCUAUCUGGUCAGCGGAUCGUUCGACCAAGCGGUUUUGACUGCAUUGUCCGUGUCUGAUCAAGUUCGGGCGGCCAAUAUGGGAAGAGUAUGCGAUGAUGAUGAGCUUUUGGAGAUGCUCGAAUUAGUUGGGAUUGUACUCGUUCAAGCACUUAAAGAGCUCAGAAGGUAAAUCCUAGUUGUUUCCUUCUGUUGCAGUAAGCUAUGAGUUCUGAUCAUUUUCCAGUUUUUGUCAAUGUGUUGUAAUAAGAUAAGGAUGUUGAUCAACCUGAAUCUAAUGCUGCUAAAAUAGAAAAAAUCUUGGGCUUAAUGGAUUUGCAAAAAGGAAAAACAUCAUUGCCAGCUAUAUAUGGUGAUGCAUUGUUUAUCGCCAGAAUCACCUUAAAAGUUGUCUGAAUAAAAAGUGGAACUAAACUGUCUCACUUAUUACCGGAUGUGUCUUAUGAAUGCAUAUUCAUACACGUGCUUCAAUUGCUAGCUUCCCUAGGAAGGGGGCAAAUGAAGCGAAUAAUCGCGAGUGGACAUGCAGGUACACGCGUUUGGUAUCCACACCGCUCGUGCCCGCGCGAUUCGUGCAACUCCAAUACGCGCAAGCCGUAUAAUGGUUUCCACUCACACCGUAUUGCAUUUGGUAUAGACGCGUAUCGUUCACCUGACGUGUGUAGCACAUGGCCCACAAGGCAGGUCUGGGCAUUGAUGAAUCGAGCCAUGUGCCUCUACCAUCCCAGCCCCAACGGCUAGCUGCAGGACGCUCCCUGCUGCACUUUCCAACAUAUGGCUUGCUUUAUAAAUGCUCAUGCCGAGUUGCCGACGAACCAUUCUCCUCAGUUCUCCAUCUUCAUUUCUCUCAUCUUGCUGAAGGCCACAACCAUGUGUUCAUCCAUGUCCCGGGUUAGUUCCACUCCUGCAUCACACCACACCAACAACCAGGUCGUAAAACUCAUACGCCUCAAAUAUUGAAUCAAAUGUCAAUCCAACACAUGGGUUCACCACUGUUUCUGAAUCCCUCUCUGCAAAUCUUGUGAGUGCUGAUUCCAACACAGUCACCCUUUCAGCGCUUGUAGGUCUCUCGUCUGACAUCGCAGCUCUCCUUUUCCUCAAACAGCUGGUGCCAGAACGUCUGUAAGAUCAAGAUGGAUGUUGAAACAAAAAACAAGAAGCGGCAACUAAAUCUUGCCUCCUAACCCAGCCAACUUUAUCAUCAAGCACUGCGUAUUUGUUCGCUACCCUCUCAACCUUUUUCUCAUCUGAACCUGUCGUGUCUGUUCCUUGAUGAACCUCAACCCAAUCUAACAAAUCUGCAAAUCUGCCGCUUGGGUCAUCUUCAGCCACCUCUCGCAUUGCCCCGAGCCGCCCGGGAUGGCUUCCAAAGACCACUGAAUCAAGGGGGAAUGGCAGCUCGCCGAUCUCACCGGAGGACCCAGAUCAAGAACUUGGCCCCAACGAUGUCGUGACACUGGGGGAUCCAGGCAAAACGAGAGAUCAAUACAGGUGGGCGCACACGCUCGUAGGCAGAAGAAAACAACGGAUCAGGCAAAUGGUUUUGAGGGCCUAAACCGAUCCCUAUCUGUGUAGAACCCAUCUCCACUCCCUCACUCUGUUCCUCAAUAGGCGACGGCUUGGGGGGAGUUCCACAUUGCGAGGAGCGAGUUGGGGUGCGUGCUCAAUCAUGUCCACCCAGCCACCGAGAGCAGUUAUUCCAUCGGCCCCGGGCGCAGCGUGGCUGGCGUAUUAGUACAAACGUAAAUGCCGCCUUGGGCCACUGUCGCGGUGUAUAACAUGACAUAUUCGCGGAGCUGGUAAUAAAACAGUCAGGUAUUUGUUAAUGGGCUAUAUUAAUUAGCAAUCGCGACGCACGGGCAGACGGGCUGGAUUUCGGCAGCGCGUGGCUGCAUGUCCCAAAAAUUCGCGUCCGCAAAUGAGUAUGUGGACUAGAAAGUUCUUUAUUCAGCUACUUUUAUAUGGGUGCUUAUGAAAAGCCAUAUGCUAUAUCAUGAAGUUCUUAAAUACUGAUGAUAUGGACAUUCGUUGCUAUUGUGUAGAACAUUUGCAUAAUUUUUGGUACCUGGUUUUAUUCUAGUACGUAUAUUUUUAACACAUAUGCUAACUGUUUCCAGGACAGCUGAGAUGUUUGUUCAGCUUAAAGCUAUGUAUGGUUCAGUGGCAUCAAUACCGGUGAAAGUUUUCCUGACAGGGUAGUUGUUACAUAAAAUUCUCAUGUAUUCUUGGUUUUACUUUGUGGUUCCUCUUUUCUGUAUCAUUGACAUGUAUCUUCCAUAUAGGGCUACCAUGCUAAUGGCAGAAGGUUCUGGCCCUGACCUUCGACCAAUUUUUGAGGACUUCCUUGCUAAAUGGAGAUACACAGAUGAUCAAGUUUAUGUUUUGAACGGAGAACAGGAAAAAUCUUCAAAUGGUCUUAUUGUUACAUCAACUAUGACAACUGAAGAGUAUUUGGAGGUGGUGGAAUUGUAUACAGUUACAUUCCUUAGCAUUGCCUCUCAUGAGCCUGAAAAUGCCAUCUCAUGGGUAGAAAAGGCAGAAUUGAUUGAGCAAGAUCGACAGGUAAUUUUUGGGAUGGUGUAUAUUAGUUAUAGAUAACUAUAGCAUGCUGAGUUAGGACUUCCCAUAUUUUCAUAUUGUUUUCUUACAAUGUUGGUCGUGGAAUUCUUUUGUCUCUGCAUUCAUUUUCCCCUAACUUUUCAAUUUGUUUGCAUCAUUGAGUUCUUGCUUAAUUUUUCUGCAGGAGGUACUAGAAAAACUUCAUGCAUUACAAGCAGCUGCAAAUGAAAAGUCAUCCACUGCUGCAGGAGCAAAACAAUCAGCAGAGAGGAACCUUUCCGCUUCUGAGAAAGGCCCAACAGCAACAACACAUGAGGAUGAUCCGACAAGCACCACGCGUGCACCCAAUGUGAAAACAAAUGGCUUACCAAAGUCCAUUGAGCCUUCCCUUCAGCACGUCAGAAAUAACUUUGAUCCCAUGUUUUGGUGGUUCCAUUCGGUGCGCGUAAAGCUUGGUAGAAUGCAUAUUGUUCUACCAAGUGGCAAGCUAAUGCUUCUGUUCUCACUGCUGUUCUCGACAGUCUACGUUCUACGAAGGAAAGGCGCUGGCUUGAAGAGGUAAAGGUUUCAUCUACCUGCUGUAGACGUCCAAACGAUCCAGAGCAUCUUGUGUGGUUUUCUGAUACAGCUGAAUGUUUUUUCAUGCAAAUAUGCGCUGGACAGGGCUGUGUUCCAACACGCUUCGUCCCUGCGUCGGGCCUUCCUCGACGCCCUUCAGCUCGCAUUCUCCGUCCAGAUGAACCCGUUAGCAGCCGUUCAACAGACGCCGCAAGCCCCUCGAGGAAGCUGGUGAUACACCAAUACCGAUGUACUUACCCAUCCCACAUGUAACUAGCAAAUACCGUGAAUUGUAAGUUGGACACGCAGGAUAGUAGUCGCUUUUUGUGCUGCUGAUAACUCUGCUAGAUACAUCAUGGCAAUGUUUGAUAUCGGCAUUCCAAGUUUGAAAUUUUUGGUUCAGAGGCUUUGUUCUUGUUGUGUUGGUUCAUGCGGGUUUAGUUUCAGUAAAGUUGCAGCUAGCCAGUGAAGUGAGCUCAGGGUGGAGAACUGUAUGCACCGAUUCUGCUUGUAUCAUCGUAUGUCGUACACAUGUUUCAGAAAUAUAAAUAAUGUAGAGUGAAUGAGAAGCUGUUUCACAUCGAAAACUCGCUGGUGUUCAGGGCCCAGCAAUAUGUAACAUGAGUGAGUCUACUGAAUAUACUACUCCCUCCGUUCCUAAAUAUAAGUCUUUUAAGCGAUUUUACUAGGUGUCUACAUCCGUAUAUAGUCUACUAAUGAAAUCUCUAGAAAGACUUAUAUUUAGGAACGGAGGGAGUACUUCGUAGAUCACAAUGUGGAUCAGUGUCAAUUGCCCAGGGAAAGCUGCGUCAGACUCGUUGGUUUUGACCAUGCGGAACAUGAGUCAUUAGGUUUCGACUGCGUGCUCUGACUUGUAGUUUAAGUGAAGAAUCGUUAUGAGUGCAUCAAUGUGGCUGUAGUUUAGUGGUGAGAAUUCCACGUUGUGGCCGUGGAGACCUGGGCUCGAAUCCCAGCAGCCACACAUUGUUUUUCUUUCCGUCUGUUUUUUGUAUCACGACGCAUUUCUUUUUUUUUUAGAACCGGGCACCCCUUUUCCAUUACUCACAUAACGGAAAUACAAAUCGUGCUUUGUUCAAAAAGGAAACCAGAAUUUCUUUUUUAGAACCGGGCAACCCCUUUUCCAUUACUCACAUAACGGAAAUACAAGUCAUGCUUUGUUCAAAAAGGAAACCAGAAAAAUGGGUGCGAGUUCAGAGCAUUUUUGGGAAACUUACACAUAGACACUCAUCAUCGAGCAGCCUAUCGUAGGGCAAAAACCCAAGAACACCCAUAACACGCACAGAACCACUACCAAGUUUAAAGAGACAAGCUGCAAAUAGUAUAUUACACCUAUCGUAGGGCAAAAACCCAAGAACACCCAUAACACGCACAUAACCACUACCAAGUUUAAAGAGACAAGCUGCAAAUAGUAUAUUACAUAGGUCCACGCCUGAGAUUACUCCACACAUGGGAGACCAUCAACCAGAAGCACUAAGUGCCAGCAACUCCAACCAUCAGCAACCAUCCUCUGGGGCCGCACAUAUCCUCAGCAUAUUUGACGCGUUCAUCUUCAGCAUCUUCGCGCCCCUCUCCAUCGCCAGUUUAUCGUCCCCUGUAAGGAGUCCUGCCCAAUACGUCAGGAAUCCACAAGUAGAAUAGACCACAUCAAAAGGAGACCCCAACUUUUUCCUCUCAAACUCGCGCUAUUGCGGCAGUUCCACAGUGCCCAACAAACAUCAGCUAAACCAAAAGUAUAAAACCUGGCACCAUUAGGCAUAUAUGUAAAACACCAAGCAUAAAAUUGCCACAAAUUAUCAGGGCCAUUACUAGUCCCCAGCAUACACCCCACUGUUCUCCAAACCACUCUAGCCACAGGGCAGGAAAAACACAAAUGUUGUGAAGUCUCCCUUUCUGAGCAAAAAGAACAUCUAGGGUUACCUUUCCAUUUCCUCCUAUUCAUCACAUCUCGUGUGAGAAUAGCAUCCUGAAACAACUGCCAUAGGAAAAUUUGAAUCUUAAGAGGUAAUUUUGCACUACAGAUCCAGCGAAAAUCACAACCAGCAAUAUUUUUCUCCAAAUGCUCAUAUAUAGAUUUAGUAGAAAACCUUUUUCCAAACUUCCAUCUAAUCUGGUCCGGAUCAUCACGUAAAACCCAUUGAUCCACCACCGCAUUCAGCUCUGCCAAUUGGCCCGCCAGAAUAGGCGUCAGUUGUCUCCUAAACAGAUCACCUCCCUCCUAGGCUUUAAAAUCCCUCAUGGUAAUAUCCUGAUUAUUACAAAUAUAAAACAGUUCCGAAUACAAAUUUUUUAAAGGAGGAGUAUCAUUCACCGAAUCAUGCCACAAUCUAGUCAUAUUACCAGAUCUCAAGAUCACCUCUCUACCAGCCAUAUAAUGCGGCUUAACUUUCAUAAUAGCCUUCCAAAUAGGAGAAUCAGAAAACUUACUGGAGAUAGAUGUCACAUCAACUCUCCUAAAGUACUUAGCCCUAAUCACAUCUUGCCACAACCCUUGUUGUGUUUCUAACUUCCACCACCAUUUGACUAACAAGCUCACAUUCUGCUUAUGUAAGUUUUUCACCCCCAGGCCCCCUUUUUUCUUGGACCUACAGAUACGAUCCCACCUGACAAGAUGAUAUCUCUUGUUUCCCUCAGAUUCCCGCCAAAAAAAUUUCUUCCUGUGCUUAUCCAGCUUAUAUAUGACCAUCUUAGGAAGCAUAAACAUAGCCAUAUAGUAAUACACUAUGCUAGUUAAGGAUGAGUUCAUCAGGAUCAACCUGCCCCCCGAAGAUGCAGAAUUCCCAAUCCAGGCUUCACAACAUUUACGAAAUUUCUCAUCUAAAAACAUCCAGUCAACACUCCUGAGACUAGACCCACUUACAGGAACUCCUAGAUAUUUCAUAGGGAAAUGACCUAUCUGACAGUUAAACAUGUCAGCAUAAGUAUUUAUAACAAUGUCAUCACCACCCACACAGAACACCUCACUUUUCUCAAAAUUGAUUUUCAAACCUGACAUCAUCUCAAAAAUAUAUAGCAAGAGUUUCAUAUUAACAGCAGCAGUGAUAUCAUGCUCAAAACAUAUAACAGUAUCAUCUGCAUACUGCAGAAUAGCCACACCAUCUUCAACAAGGUCAGAGGCCAAACCUGUAAACAAUUUCUCCUUCUGGGCAUUUCUCACCAUCUUAGAGAGGGCCUCCACAACAAUAUUGAACAAGAAGGGGGAGAAAGGAUCACCUUGUCUGACCCCUUUAUGACUUUGGAAGUACGGGCCUUUCUGAUUAUUCAACUUGAUACAUACCGUGCCAUCAUAAAGGAUUUUUUAAAUCCAACCACACCAAGUUUCUCCAAAACCCCUGUUCUUGUGACACUCCAAAAGGAACUCCCACUUAAUCUUAUCGUAAGCUUUUUCAAAAUCCAGUUUUAGGACUACACCACAUCUUUUCUUCCUCUGAGUAUGAUGUAAAAUCUCAUGUAAGGUAAGGAUACCAUCCAUAAUAUUUCUAUGUUUAAUAAAAGCAUUUUGAUGUCUACUAAUGAGCACAUCAGAGUAAAGAGCCACCCUGUCGUUUAGAACCUUGGUAAUCAGCUUAUAUGGGCAACGAAGCAGACAAAUAGGUCUGUAUUGUUGGAUCUUUUUAGCUCCAUCCAGCUUAGGAAGCAGAGUAAUCACCCCAUAGUUCAAACGAGCCACAUCCAACGAAUUAUUGUGGAACGCAUCAAACAGUCUCAUCAGAUCUUUCUUAACAAACCCCCAACAGUAUUUAUAAAAUUCAACAGGUAUAUUAUCUGGACCUGGAGCUUUAUUACUUUCCAUAGAAAAUAAGGCUUUCUUCACCUCCUCCUCCGUAAAUUUACCAGUGAUAAACUCAUCAUCUUCCAUACCAAUUUUUUCCCCACUGGACCAAGUAUUAGGAUCCAGGUGGAACAUAUUACCAUUCGCAGGACCAAAUAGCUCUUUGUAAAAGUCUGUUGCAUGUCUCAGUAGGUUUUGCGUCCCCUCAAUCACCAUAUCUCCAUUAACAAGAGAAUGUAUAGUAUUUUUCCUCUUUCUACCAUUAGCCACUCUAUGAAAAAAAAGCUGUAUUACGAUCCCCUUUUAACAACCAUCUCUCAUUAGAUUGCUCGAGCCAAAAAAUCUCAUCAUUAUAAAGAAUCUCAUUAUACUCAGCAUAUAAUGCAGUUCUUUGCUCAUAAACCUCAGGAUCCAAAGGUCCAAUCUCUUCCAUCUUUUCAAUCUCUUCCAAUUCUUUCUUAAUCUCAUCUUUUCUUUUCCUACUAUGACCAAAUCUGUUUGAUCCCCACCCUUUAAAAUAUUUCUUGAUGCGCUUCAAUUUAAUAUUGAGAAUAUCAAUAGGAUCAUCUGCCCUAACAACUUGAUCCCAGAUGCUCUUGGCCUUAGGAACGAAUUCAUCAUUCUUAAGCCAAGAAAGCUCAAAUCUAAAUUCUCUCUGCCCCGGAGCACUUCUCACCUCCAUUCCAGUGGAUAACAGCAAGGGGUUAUGAUCCGAAACCUCCCUCACCAGCUUACGGACAGAAACCAAAGGAUACAUAUCUUCCCAACUAAAACUCAUCAAAACCCUAUCUAAUUUUUCCAAAGUAGUGUGACGUUGCUUAUUAGUCCACGUAUACUUCCCUCCUCCCAUAUCAAUCUCUCUUAGGCCCAGGGAGUUGAUAACAUCAUUAAAUUUCGCCACAAACUUGAGAUUACCAUGUUUUUUAUUCUUCUCCUGCACUUAAAAUCUCCCCCAGUAAUGUAAGGGACAUCAAUAUUACUACAUGUGGCAAGCAUUUCAUCCAGGAAAUCGUCUUUACGAUCAUCAUGUGGCGCACCAUACACCACAACCAACACCCAGAUGCAUUUGUUUCUUACAUCAAAAACACGAGCCUGCAUCAUAAAGUUCCCCAACGUCCACGAAAUCAAUUCCAGGCUCUCUUUCUUAACCCCACAAAGGAUACCUCCAGAUCUUCCCACUGAGGGUAAACAAUUCCAAACAAAAAAACCACCAGGGUCCACUCUACUUAAGUAUUUGACAGGAAACUCUUCUCUCUUGGUUUCUUGAAAACCAACAAAAUCAAGAGAAUGAUCUUUAAUAAUAUCAGCAAAACAGGAAGCCAUCCCUUUUCUACGUGCCCCCCCUACAAUUCCAAAAGACCCCUUUCAUAUAACACCUUUAGAAUUUUUCCUCCCUCUGGGGCCCCUCUUAGGAAUCUCGUUGGGGGCACCCAUCUUCUGAUCCAAGGAUGUACCAUUCUUCUGACUCCUAGUAACAGGUCUAGCUAUCACCACAGGUUUCUUAAUUCUAUUCUUUUUUUAGAUCUCACAAUAGUAAAAUCAUCCUCCUCCAUAUUGCCUUCUUCCAUCCAUCCCAACUCCAAAGGAGUAACUACCCCAUUAGCAUUGAUCAAAGACAUAUUAUUAACAUCUUCCUCACCUUCCACUACAUCCUCUCUUUCCACCCUAGCAUUAUUAUUUCUAAAUUUCUCCAAUUCCCUAAUAAUAUCAAUAUUAACAAAAUCAUUAUCAGGAAUAAUCACCCCCAUCUUAGAAGCAGCUAACAUCAUUUUUUGAUUGGAUAAAGCAUCAAAAGAGUUGUGAGAAUGUAGUGUACCUUCUGCAUUCCUUUUCUUGACAGCAGCAGCCUUCAACUGCACAUCCUCCAUCUUGCUCUGCACAUUACGAAGACUGAAUCUCAAAUUUUCCUCAGUAGCCAAGGGAGGAGUAGGAAUCACCUCCACUUCCACAGCAUUGUCAGGAGAUUCCACCAUAUAUUCCACCUUUCCAGUAUCACAUUCCCCCUUCUCAGCAUCAACAGGAGUCACCUGAGGAGCAAUUCUCACCACAUCAGCAAAGGAUUUUAUUUCACUCACAGGAGAUCUCAUUUUUUUGUUCAUAUCACCAUGAGGAAUAUUACGACUUACAAGUUUUUCAUCUUCCAUGAAUUCCAUAGCCAUAGAAUCAAUUAACAGAGAAGUAUGCAAGGAUACAUCAGAUUCUAUGCUCUCUUGAGAUUCCUGGAUUUGUUUUUUUACCCCCAGAUUGCUCAUUAUCAUUUUUCUCCUCCACAAACUUCCUGGGACUAGUAUCAAUUCUAGGUUUUUUAUUUUUAUUAUCAUCUACAUCCUCAUGUUUUUCCUUAUCCAUGUGCUUACCAGCACUAAGGAGAGAUUUACCACGAUUAGGAUCUCUCACCAGGAUCUGAUCCACUUCAAAGUAGAAAUCAUAAAAAUGUUCCCCCAAAAUAGCCUCAGCUAUAGAUAAGAUCUCAUCCACACUCCUGCAACCAAUCUUCACCCUAGCAGAAGCAGGACGAUGUAAGGUAGCAUAGUCAAUCUCCAAGGGGACACCAAUCAAGGAAGCCACAUAAGCCAUGUUUCUCUCACUUCUCUUAUCCAGAGGCACAUUGCAAACUUUAACCCAUGCUACCUCCAUCACUCCCUUAGAUCCAACCGCAGAGGACCAUUUAGUAACAUUCACAACAACACCACUAGUUUUAAGCACAAUGCGACCCACAUAACAAAUUUGAGCAAUAGCUCUAGGAUUAGGAAAUCUCACUACAAACACUCCCGGUCCGAUGGCAUGAGCAGAACACCGCCAUCCAGUGGCAAGAUAAUCAUUUAAAUCUAGCUCCAUCUGCCUAGUAGACGUCUCCCCCUCAACUAUACUCACAACAAUAUUGUUGGAUCUCUCUUUCAUCAAAUUUGCAGAGCAUGAAUCAUGUAUGUAAUAAAACCCCUGUCCCCUUGUUUGGAACGCACACAUAGAUGCAGCACAACUCCAAGGAAGAAACUCACAGCAAACAGAAGCUAGAUGUCCUAAGCGGCCACAUCUCUCACAAAAUGCUUGAGCACAGAACGCAGGAGCGUAUUCUCGAGACUUGCAUAUGGGGCAUGGAUCAUGAGUACUGGAAGGGUUCACCUGAUUAGCUUUUGGGCCUUGAUUCCGACGCAGAGGUGUGGAGAUCUGUCGCUCUGUUCCCUCACCCGCAGAUCCAGAGGACCCCUGGCUCUUGGGAACCCAAAUCCCACCCUCAGCCGUCUGCUUCCCCAUCGCAGCCUCCUCCCAGCGCGAGGUGUCAUCAGAUCCAGAGGCGACAUUCGACGUAGAGGAGUUGUUGUUGCCGCCGUCAUCCCGCUUCCAAGAGAACUUCCGGUCACCACCACGAACGCCGCCCCGUCCAGGAGCAGGACCAGGCCCGCGUGCCCCGCGACCGGGUUCCCCCCGUCGGCCACCACGGAAUCCUCGGUCUCCAUCUCCCAUCGGCGAAGGAGACGCGGUCACCGCCGCGAAGGAGCGUGGGUCUCCCCCGACUUUCCCUCUCCACCAGCCAAAGGAAUCACUCUCGCUCGAUCUAGGGUUUCUCGACGGCGCCGACCAGAAGUGGGAGAACGCCUCCUCUAGGUCAAGCCGCGGUGUGGCUCGGGGUCUUAUACCCCCUUCCGAAAUAUGAGCGGCCCGAUCUCUCCCCACGUGUCGGGCAUCCGCCAUUGAUGCGCUAUGGGGCUCCGAGCCCACACUGGGCCCACCUGUCGGACCACCCGUCGUUCCCCUCGUCAGGCCCGACGCUACAUCCCCGGCCGCCCUCGUCGGAGCUCCGAUCUCCGGCAACCAAUCCCGAAUCCGCGCAAAAAAACAAGGAAAGGCCACCAUGUCACCGAUAUCUAGGGUUUCCCCUUCCCGAAGGCAUCUCGCAUCGAUGGUUUCACCCCUCUCAUCCCGAAGGACUAACCUGAGUGCCUCCCGACGAAGGAGUAGCUCGUCGUCGGCGAAUCGAAGGUGCCGCGAGCUGAUGUGUGCAGCGAAGGAAACACGCCAUCUCGUGUCCCCUUCAUCCUUUGGUCCUCUCGAGCUCGCCAUCUAGACGCAUUUCAUUUCAACAACAAAUUGAUUUGAAUGGUUCGUCCACAACCGCGCUUUCUCUCCGCAUUUAAAUCUACCCACACACGCCUACCUCUCGCAGUUACCAAACCACACUUCAAAAAUCUAUAUACACACGACAUCGCGGGCAUCGCAUCCAUGAUCGAUCACCGGGCCGGAGUCGGAGAGGCGCCGGCGCUGGCACGGCCUCCUUCGCGGCGCGCGCCAUCGCUCUCCUCCUCCGGCGGGAUGGCGAGCGCGGCCUCGAGGACGAGCACGACCCUGCUCAUGGCGGGCCGCACCUUGGGGUUCUGGCUGAGGCAGUCGUACGCCAACCUGGCCACCCGCUCCAGCGCGCGCGCCGAGNNNNNNNNNNNNNNNNNNNNNNNNNNNNNNNNNNNNNNNNNNNNNNNNNNNNNNNNNNNNNNNNNNNNNNNNNNNNNNNNNNNNNNNNNNNNNNNNNNNNGGUCACAUAGAUAAUUGUUACAACCGACGUUUGAAUUUUGCUACCAAGCACCAUCAUCUUUGUUUUUUCUACGAUUACGUAUAUUAUUUUUUUUGCUAUAAUUUUUUUAACCGUUCGGAGAUCUAACGAUGCGGACGCGCGGAGGUUGGUGGAUCGUACGGCCCGCGCGGGGCCGGCCGAAGAGAGCAUCGUCCUUUUACUUUCUGUAGUACGGAGUAAUAUUUUUUCACUACAUUUUAUACUACCAGUGCUCCCUGUCAAAAGGGCGAGAAGAUAAGAAACGGCAGCGGGGCCGUGGACGAAGAAGGAAACAAAACGAGAGGACAGUGAAAAAACCAUCGGACAAACCGGGUGGGAAUGGGACGGUGGAAGUGAGAGAAAGACAGAGAGGGGGGGGCUGACCACGGCCGUACUCCCCUCCCCCUCUCCCUCUCAUCGGACGCCGAGGCCACGCCACACGGACAAUAAGAAAAACUUUUCGUGGCCCGAGGCAGCAGCCUGCAGCGCAGCCGAGGCAGCACCAGCAAAACGAGCGAGCAACCAACGCCCAGCCGCAGGCGCAGCGCAGCGCAGACUACGCGGCCCUGCUGCACACAGACACCACCAAAGCAAGCAAGAGCAGAACACAGAGAGACAGAGAGAGCGAGAGAGAUCAUCACGCAGCACAGCGGCGGCCCCUCCCCCCUCCCCUCUCUCCUCUCUCGACAGUCGACACAUAGAGCCGGGUAGCAGCCCGGGCGGGAGACAGGUCUUCGGUCUCGGCGCCGCGUGCUCGCCGCCCCCCACCCCGGUCCCCCUGCCCCGCGCCUGUCGGAGGGAACACGCGCGCGNNNNNNNN